rnacentral:rRNA from 1 species
UACAGGGGGUGCAAACGUUGCUCGGAAUCAUUGGGCGUAAAGCGCACGUAGGCGGUUUGUUAUGUCGGAUGUGAAAGCCCUUGGCUCAACUGAGGAAGUGCAUCCGAAACUGGCAAGCUAGAGUACUAAAGAGGGUCGCGGAAUUCCCGGUGUAGAGGUGAAAUCCGUAGAUAUCGGGAGGAACACCGGUGGCGAAGGCGGCGACCUGGGUAGAUACUGACGCUGAGGUGCGAAAGCGUGGGGAGCAAACAGG